rnacentral:lncRNA from 1 species
GGCAUUGGCGGUUGGUGUGCAUCAUGGCAACCGUGGCAGCCACUACUAAAGUCCCUGAGAUCCGAGAUGUGACAAGAAUCGAGCGAAUCGGUGCUCACUCCCACAUCCGGGGCCUGGGACUGGAUGAUGCCCUGGAGCCAAGACAGGUAGAGCCUUGGGGCUGGGCGUGUGGGCUAUUGCUGCCUGGCAGGUCUUCAGGCCUCUUGAUUCUGUACUACAGCACCUCUGCUUCA